rnacentral:rRNA from 1 species
CCUACGGGAGGCAGCAGUGGGGGAUAUUGCACAAUGGGGGGAACCCUGAUGCAGCGACGCCGCGUGGGUGAAGGAGUGCUUCGGCAUGUAAAGCCCUAUCGGCAGGGAAGAAGCAAGACGGUACCUGACUAAGAAGCCCCGGCUAACUACGUGCCAGCAGCCGCGGUAAUACGUAGGGGGCGAGCGUGAUCCGGAUUCACUGGGUGUACAGUGAGCGUAGACGGCCAUGCAAGCCAGGGGGGAAAGCCCGGGGCCCAACACCGGGACUGCCCUUGGAACUGGAUGGCUGGAGUGCGGGAGGGGGAGGCGGAAUUCCUGGGGGAGCGGUGAAAUGCGGAGAGAUGAGGAGGAACACCGGCGGCGAAGGCGGCCGGCUGGACCGCGACUGACGCUGAGGCGCGAAAGCGUGGGGAGCGAACAGGAUUAGAUACCCUUGUAGUC